ensembl:lncRNA
AUAAGAUCCGGGAGUGUGAGGGGAUACGAUCCGAGAGAGUGUGAGGGUAUAAGAUCCGGGAGUGUGAGGGGAUAAGAUCCGAGAGAGUGUGAGGGUAUAAGAUCCGGGAGUGUGAGGGUAUAAGAUCCGGGAGUGUGAGGGUAUAAGAUCCGGGAGUGUGAGGGUAUAAGAUCCGAGAGUGUAAGGGUAGAAGAUCCGGAGAGUGUGAGGGUAGAAGAUCCGGGAGUGUGAGGGUAUAAGAUCCGAGAGAGUGUGAGGGUAUACGAUCCGGGAGAGUGUGAGGGUAUAAGAUCCGGAGAGUGUGAGGGGAUAAGAUCCGGAGAGUGUGAGGGGAUAAGAUCCGAGAGAGUGUGAGGUAUAAGAUCCCGGAGAGUGUGAGGGUAUAAGAUCCGAAAGAGUGUGAAGGUAUAAGAUCCGAGAGAGUGUGAGGGGAUAAGAUCCGGAGAGUGUGAGGGUAUACGAUCCGAGAGUGUGAGGGUAUAAGAUCCGGAGUGUGAGGGGAUAAGAUCCGAGAGAGUGUGAGGGUAUAAGAUCCGAGAGAGUGUGAGGGUAUAAGAUCCGAGAGAGUGUGAGGGUAUAAGAUCCGAGAGAGUGUGAGGGUAUACGAUCCGAGAGAGUGUGAGGGUAUACGAUCCGAGAGAGUGUGAGGGUAUA